rnacentral:tRNA from 1 species
GCCUCGGUAGCGCUGUAGGCAGCGCGUCAGUCUCAUAAUCUGGAGGUCGUGAGUUCGAUCCUCACCUGGGGCA